rnacentral:rRNA from 1 species
ACAGGCGUAGGCGAUGGAUAACAGGUUGAUAUUCCUGUACCACCUAUAAUCGUUUUAAUCGAUGGGGGGACGCAGUAGGAUAGGCGAAGCGUGCGAUUGGAUUGCACGUCUAAGCAGUAAGGCUGAGUAUUAGGCAAAUCCGGUACUCGUUAAGGCUGAGCUGUGAUGGGGAGAAGACAUUGUGUCUUCGAGUCGUUGAUUUCACACUGCCGAGAAAAGCCUCUAGAUAGAAAAUAGGUGCCCGUACCGCAAACCGACACAGGUAGUCAAGAUGAGAAUUCUAAGGUGAGCGAGCGAACUCUCGUUAAGGAACUCGGCAAAAUGACCCCGUAACUUCGGGAGAAGGGGUGCUCUUUAGGGUUAACGCCCAGAAGAGCCGCAGUGAAUAGGCCCAAGCGACUGUUUAUCAAAAACACAGGUCUCUGCUAAACCGUAAGGUGAUGUAUAGGGGCUGACGCCUGCCCGGUGCUGGAAGGUUAAGAGGAGUGGUUAGCUUCUGCGAAGCUACGAAUCGAAGCCCCAGUAAACGGCGGCCGUAACUAUAACGGUCCUAAGGUAGCGAAAUUCCUUGUCGGGUAAGUUCCGACCCGCACGAAAGGCGUAACGAUUUGGGYACUGUCUCAACGAGAGACUCGGUGAAAUCAUAGUACCUGUGAAGAUGCAGGUUACCCGCGACAGGACGGAAAGACCCCGUGGAGCUUUACUGURGCCUGAUAUUGAAAUUCGGCACAGCUUGUACAGGAUAGGUAGGAGCCUUUGAAACGUGAGCGCUAGCUUACGUGGAGGCGCUGGUGGGAUACUACCCUAGCUGUGUUGGCUUUCUAACCCGCACCACUUAUCGUGGUGGGAGACAGUGUCAGGCGGGCAGUUUGACUGGGGCGGUCGCCUCCUAAAAGGUAACGGAGGCGCUCAAAGGUUCCCUCAGAAUGGUUGGAAAUCAUUCAUAGAGUGUAAAGGCAUAAGGGAGCUUGACUGCGAGACCUACAAGUCGAGCAGGGUCGAAAGACGGACUUAGUGAUCCGGUGGUUCCGCAUGGAAGGGCCAUCGCUCAACGGAUAAAAGCUACCCCGGGGAUAACAGGCUUAUCUCCCCCAAGAGUUCACAUCGACGGGGAGGUUUGGCACCUCGAUGUCGGCUCAUCGCAUCCUGGGGCUGUAGUCGGUCCCAAGGGUUGGGCUGUUCGCCCAUUAAAGCGGUACGCGAGCUGGGUUCAGAACGUCGUGAGACAGUUCGGUCCCUAUCCRUCGUGGGCGUAGGAAAUUUGAGAGGAGCUGUCCUUAGUACGAGAGGACCGGGAUGGACAUACCUCUGGUGUACCAGUUGUCGUGCCAACGGCAUAGCUGGGUAGCUAUGUGUGGACGGGAUAAGUGCUGAAAGCAUCUAAGCAUGAAGCCCCCCUCAAGAUGAGAUUUCCCAACUUCGGUUAUAAGAUCCCUCAAAGAUGAUGAGGUUAAUAGGUUCGAGGUGGAAGCAUGGUGACAUGUGGAGCUGACGAAUACUAAUSGAUCGAAGACUUAAUCAAAA